UGGGUACUAGGUGUAGGAGGUAUCGACCCCUUCUGUGCCGGAGUUAACGCAAUAAGUACCCCGCCUGGGGAGUACGACCGCAAGGUUGAAACUCAAAGGAAUUGACGGGGGCCCGCACAAGCGGUGGAGUAUGUGGUUUAAUUCGACGCAACGCGAAGAACCUUACCAGGUCUUGACAUUGAUGGACAGAACUAGAGAUAGUUCCUCUUCUUCGGAAGCCAGAAAACAGGUGGUGCAUGGCUGUCGUCAG
rnacentral:rRNA from 1 species